AUGAGCCAGAAACCCGUCAUAAGACAACAAGAAUAAAACAUAAGGGAAUACUCAACAUAUGACGACCCAACAUGAUAUACAAAGUUAUACAUGUGACAUACGGGCCUAUAAGGCCGACAUGACCAUUUGUAAACUCAACACAUAGGCCAACACGACCAUACAAGUAUCCAUAAACCUGACAUCUGUCUACAAGCCUCUAAGAGUACAUAAAAUCAUAAAGGUCGGGAUAGGGCCCCGCCAUACCAAUCAAUACAUAUCCAAAGCAUACUGACCAAAUAGGCAACUCCGGAGUAAGUGGAGUGCACCAACACCUCCGCUGAGCUGAUAGCCUACUCGGAGGAAUGUCAACCUAUCAAUUGGACCUGCGGGCAUGAAACGCAGCGUCCCCAGGCAAAAAGGACGUCAGUACAAAUAAAGUACUAAGUAUGUAAGGCAAGAAAGCAUAAAUAAAAACAGUAAUAUAAAAAGAGAUAGGGGAGAUACAACAUGUAACAUCUGCGUGCCUCUGGGGGCUACUGACAUGAAAUGCAUAAUACAUAUAUAUAUACAUAAACUUUUAAAAACAUAUGCCUCUGUAGGCAUUAUCAUCAUCAUCAUAUCGUACCCGGCCUCAAAGAGGACUCGGUAAAAAUGUACCCGGCCAUCAUAAGGCUCGGUAGAAUCGUACCCGGCCAUGUGGAGCUCAUUAACCCAACUGAUCAGUGGUUGCACAAUAGGUGCCAUACCCGGUCGACUAUAGCGCGGCUCGGUAGAUUAAAGUAGAUACAUAUAUAAUGCAUGUUGGACUCAUAGAAUUACGUUCUAAACUUUUCGGAGUGAUGUAAGGUCAUUGCACCUUCGAUUAAUAUUAUGGACAUCCCUACCAUCAAUAUGAGACUUAGUAGGAUUUAAGGAUCAUACACACUUGCUUAGAAUAACUUUAUAAGGAAAGAACAACAUGGAAAACCUUAGUUUCUAGGAGUAGAUCCGUUAUGAAUUAGCAUACCAUUUAUGUUCGUUUCACUUUAGAUCAUGCCAAUAGAAAGAAGUAAGUGCCUUAACAUACCUUAACCAUGGUGAGUCCUUAAUACCUCCUAAUCUACUCUUCAAACAACUCAACUCAAUCUACCAUUGCAUAAGAAGAUUCAAAAUCAGUGUUGAAUAAAGGCUAAGUCUGCAACUUAAACUUGUAGUUCGUUUAUAUAAAUUCGGGCAGCAUCUCCCCUAAAACAAAGCCUCAUCCAAUACCACAUACCAACAAUAAUUACUAGAGAAAUCCAGCAAUACAUAUUUAUCAAUAACAAGACACCAUAAAACAACAACAAGUCAUAACUAUUUUACGACGAGCAACAAGCUCCAAUUGGAAUUCGUAUACCCGAUAUCAUCCCUUAUAGACUUUUUACUUUAACUUAAUAGUAUCAUUAACAUGAUAAUGAAGUCAUUUAUCAAUAAUUCCAGUCUUAUACCAUAUAUCCAUAACAAAGAAAAUGAUCCACAACUCCAAUUAUUCUUAAUUAGUAACUUUAUACACUAGUUCAUGUCUAGUUCAUCCAUUUAACUUAACCAAUGCCAAGAUAACCUUAAGCGCCUGUAGGAACACAAUAUAAUUACCUUCUACAGUGUAUGCAAGUUGAAAUCCAUGUUAUAUUUAGACUACAACAUCCCAACACACCCCAAUCAAUUCAUACCAAAAACGACGACUAUAGUAGUGUCCAACGCCCCGAAAAUAUUACAAAGAAUGACUAAUCCAUCAUUUCGCCAUUAGGUGGUAUUUCUCCACACAAUUUAUCUUCCAAAAAGUCCAUUAAAUAGCAGCAAAAUAUACUACCCAAAAGCUACACGAAACAGCCCACAAAACAGUCCAUUACAAAUCAAAUAACUCGAACCCACGGCUUCCGAUCACCGUCCCGUGAAUUCUAACUAUUAUGAAAUAAAUUAAUCAAUAUUCCUUGAUGUUUAAGAGCUUGGAACCAGAAAUUAGGCAUUUUUAUUAACUUCAAAAUACCUUCCAAAACUCAAACUACAAAGAAAAAGAGAGGCAAUAUAGCAAUACUUACGUUGUGGGGAUCGUUCUAGUGUUAUUACUUCUAGAUUUCAUGCCCGGGAUGAUGGUAUUGUUUGAAACCCUUGUAGAGAGAUUAAAGGUGAUGUUAGGGGUCUUAUUUGGUCGUGCUCUCUGGAAAUAUGCAGAAACAGACAAGAUAAAGGAGAUAAUCUCCAUUUUGUUGAAAAGUCAAAAGAUGCUACUUGGUACCCUAUAAUUGGCUCGUCUUCCAACGCUUAUAACUUUUUAUCCGGGUGUCGUGUGAGCAAACAGUUAAGAGUGUUGGAAACUAAAUUUCAAGACCUUCAAUUUGGUAUAUAAUAUGUCCCAAAAAGACCUCAUAUAGCACACGAAAUUUAUUACUCAAAAAACUUCAUUACAAGACAAAUCCUUAGUCGGUUUUUCCGCAACUUAAAUCCGAUUUUUCUCAAACUUUAUACUUCAUAUACAAACAUCAUAUAUAGUCAUAUCAUGACUUUAAACUCAUUUAAAUCAUGAUUAAAAAGUCUCAUAUUCAUCUUAACUUGCUUAACACUUCGGCAAACCUUUCUUGUCCUUAUAGAAGGAUUUCAUCCUUUUCGAGUUUAUGUUAGAUAAUCUUAUAAUGAUAGUAACGUAUAAAGUACGGGGUGGAACAACAUAUACCCUUAUAAACAUUUAUAUUUGAAUAUAACUCUUAAAGUCUUGCAAAAAAAAUAUGGGACAUAACACCAUUAAAUCACUUUAUAUACUUUCCAAGAGGAUCUCAUUUCUGAGCUUACAUCAACGGACUUACGACGUACUUUCACGUACAAAAACAUGGGUUGUAAAAUUAUUCUCCCCUUUGAAGCAUUCUUCCUCGAAUGUUGACUGAUGCGCUUCUCAUUCUCAUACCAUUUGGCUCUUUAUGAAUACUUUAAUAUUGUCCUUUGUCAUCUAGGUAAUUGUUCUGUGAAUAAAUUUAAAAACCAGAGCAUUCCCCCCUUUAGGCCUAUUCUCACCUCGCGAAUUAUGGCCGGAGUUCUUCCAAUCUCGUAACUUCGACGACCUUCUAUGAUGUAUCCUAUAUGACUAUGUCCUUUUAUGCACGACUUUUCUCUCUUUCUUUCCUCCAGGUUUUUGCCAAUCUCUUGGCUUCAGUUUGUGAAUACAUAUAUAGAACUAUGACAUAAUGUCCCUCUAGGCAUAUAUAGGUAUACUUAAGCUCUUCGCUUGGUACUUUGAUGAAUGUACGACUAUUGCUAUAUUUUGUUUUAUAGCCUUGGUAUUAUUACCGAGGUGUGCUACAUAACUCUAGGUUACUUUCUCAUUGCUUGUCCCAUAACGUGCUGGCGCAACCCUGCCACAUUAGGAACAUAUAAUCGACCUUAAUAUUUGAGGACUCCAUCUCACCCUGCCACAUUAGGAACAUAUAAUUGACCUCGAUAUCCGAUGACUCCAUCUCCUGUAAUUUGAAAGUCUUCUCCUUUUGAGGGGUUGUAUCUCUAUAAUGAUCUAGCACAUGAUAUUCAUACUGGCAUUCCUUCACUUCAGUUACUAAAGAGGAGGUUUUCAUGUCCUAAAUAGUAACUCUGGUACCACCUGCAUCUAGUAAUCGAAUUCCAAGAUUAGCUAGCAGAUGAAUCUCACAAGCUAUCUCACUCUUCUAUGCCUGUAAAUAUGAUAGGCUACACAUAGAUCUAAGAUUGAGGGUGUUGACUACUACAUUUACCUUCCUUGGAUGAUAUAAAAUAUAAACAUCAUAGUCUUUCACCAACUCCAACUAUCGCCUCAGAUGUAAUACAUUGUCACUAAGGCUCACGUCUUAUCGGAGAACAUCUGAAGUGAUUUUCUUGAUGCACCUAGGGACGAUACUAUACUUUAAUGACUGCAUUUUCAUAACAUCCUAACGUAUUCAUCUUAGGGGGGCAUUCUAAUACCGUACCAUCUAUGAAAUCCUUUUUCUUUAAAUCAUUACUCAAUCGAAGGCCCAAACAUCAUUCUCUUAACUAACACAAUUACACUCUUAUUCUAAUACCAGGGCAGUAUUCCAUCUCUUCUAAUUGCUCAUGUUCUUAGACUCCUCUGAGUUCAUUCAGAGUGUACCGAGCUUUCUAUAGCUCAUGGAAAGCAUCAGCUCUCUUGUUUUGACAGGUUUAAUCAUGAGACCUUGACUAUUAUUGUCACCUUCUCACUCACAUUUACCAUACUUACCUUUAAAUCUCGCACCGUAUCUUCUAUCGAUUUCAUAACCUCCCUUCUACAUUGGUGGAAUUCACAUCCAUACCUUAAAUCUCUACUAUAAUACUUGCAACCCUGGUGCAUACAUAAUCUGGUGGGAGCUUCGUAUUAACGUCUUAUGAGGCUGGUACUCUUCUAAUUGCUUUAUUAUAGAGCUUUAUAGAAUAUAAUUGUUGUAUUAUCUCUUUUAUAUCUCUGCUAUUAAAAGUGUUCCUACUAUGGUUUGAGUCACGAUUUCUAUAAUCAUCUAGGUCUAACAAUCGGACUCAUGAUGUAACUUUCGAGCUUCCUCUUCCUUCUCAGCCUUUAAUUAAGCUUAGGCUAUCCUCCAAUCUCCAGCUUAGGGUAUUAGCUAUUACAUUAGCCUUUCAUGGACUCUAUGUAGCAUCAAUGAUAUAAUCUUCUAACAAUUCAAGCCUUUAUAGGUGACGUGGACUUAAUUCUUUCUUUUAACUUAUACCAGAGUCUCCUAUAGCUGUAUGAAUGUCAACAUAUAUGCUGCAUGGAUAUAACUCUGAAGUCUUAAGUGCAUUCACAAUGUAAUUAACACUGGAUUAUUGAUUGAAUAAUUUCUUUCGUGCCUUCUCAGCAUUUUUUUUAAAUGUAAGCAAUCACUUUUCCUGGUUGUUAUGCCACUUGUUGCAUGAAUACUUGGCUUAUCUUAUUGCCCACCAAUACUUGAAUUUCCUAUAACUCAUAUGAUCUCAAAUAUCACUUUUGACUUCCCGUUCAUUAGUAACGAUAGGUGCCACUUUCUUAUGGAGUGUAUACCAUAUUGUAGUGAGACUGUUGUUACAAGACCUUUUCUUCUUUAUAUCGUUAUGCUUAAGUUGAAGCCUUCUUCCUUAUUUUCUCAGCUAGUCUUUCUUUGUAGUACUUAAGGAGACCUUCUGGAUCUUGUAAAGUUAUGAUCUCGGUAUACUGUAUACCCGAAGGAAUUUUCGAUGUUCUUACUCGCCUACAAACAUCCUUAGUUACAUACCUCGUGCCCUUGGGCUUGUAGGGUUACUUGUAAACUCAGAUUUUUGAUUGUUUCCUUAGUGGCACUCUCCAUUAUUUCCAUAACACUUAUACGAUACCUUUAGUAACCCAACUCCUAGCUGAAUAUUUCUCAAGGUUACGACAUUAUAUCUGCGAGACUAAAUUUACUAGAUUAGGAUUCACUACGUUUAUCAUGCAUGAUCUGCUGAUUUGCUUAUAAACUCUUGUAUAGCCAUAACUUGGCUCUUCUUGAAUCAACUACAAACUACUCGUUGGUCCAUUCCCAUAUCUAUAUUCCGCGUAAUCUCUCUUUAGUUAUUUACUUUGUCUUAAGUUACCUCUUGUAUUGGCUCAUUAUGUAUCAAGUGUUCAUUUGCACUUAUUUAUCAAUAUCAUCGGGAGCGCAACCCUUACCGCUUCUCUCUAGUGUCAUGCCUGCAUAAUGUUCUAGAGUCAUAUCAUAUCUAUAGGAUCUGAAUAGAUACUAUCUCAUUCCUUUCACCCUUUUACCGCAUUUCUCCUUUACUAUUCCAUAGUUACCUCUUCAUCUUGCCAUUUUUUUCAUAUUUUCACUAACAUCUUACUCGCCUUGCUAACCUCUCUAUACUGGGGAUAAUUAAAUUUAUUAAGCACAAGGGUGAUACUUAGCGUAACUAGCACACUUACUCCCUUAAGCUUAACUCUGCUCCACGUGCUUGCUUUAGGAAAUCAUCUUCCUGAAUGAACCUUGAAGGUUAUUAUUUUUUUUGUCCAUUCUAUUAUUGCCGGAAUGUUAUCUCUGAAAUUCUCAUGAUAUCAAUCAUUAUAAAAUCCUUCAGUCCCUAAUUUAUAUUUAGUUUAUCUUGUUCACCAGCCCAUACUGAUUUUUAUUACUCUGGGGUCUAACCUUUCCUCCUGGUAAUCACGUUGAAGUCACCAACUCAUUUCUCGAAAUAAGGAUAUGACUUUAUGUCUUAUACUCUUUUAUUGCCUCAAGUCCUGCCACCUCUUGUAUUUUUCCUUCACUUGACUAUAGACUCUGUCAUCGUGUCAUAUUUUGAUUUAAUGUUAUCACCCAUAUAUUACAUCUUACUCAGGAUGCUUCAUUUACUCUCUUCUUAUUCUCCGGAUAAUAUCUUUAUCUAUCACUUUAUUCUGAAAACUCUAACAAAAUGUUCUUUCCCUUUUAGCUCCCCUUGCUUCAUCUCACUAGCUCUUCGGAAUGCCUAACAUUCUCCCUUUUUUUUACUCGGGGUUGGAGUCAUACUAAGGUAAAUAUUUAUCCCUUCUAGGAUCCCACUGCCUAUCUUCUGAAAUUUCUGAAUAUUUCAGUAUUCAUAUCUGAUUGUACUAUUCUAAAGCUCACCAUCUAGGUGUCUCACAAGGAGAUCUAUUACCACAUUUGCACUAUCCUUCGGAUACAUUAGUUAAUGAUAACAAUCCAUCCAUAAUUUUUGGUUACUCUAACCCGAAUUGGAUCUUGAUAUCACCUUCUUCUUUUAAACUAUAUUUGUUAGCUCCCAUAGGGCACACCUGAGAUGUGUGUGGUCAAUUGUAUAUAUCACCGUUAACAUUGAAGGUAACACCAAUACUUACAUUUCUCUGCCUGAAUUGUAAAUACUGAUAAUCUUCAUUAACUAGGUACCUCGUAACCCUUUGUCAUCUUGCUUGUUUUACUUGCUGAAACUUGUGUCUACUUUCCGAUUCACUUAUUCCUUUUUACCAUACGAGUGGAUAGAUAUUCUUGCCUUAUGGCUCCUUAUCAAGAAGCUUACACAUCUUAGAACACACAUGAUCUGCUGAAGACCCCACAUUUGCUCAUCAAAAGCAUGGUGCAAAAUCGAGUUCCUCUGACUCAACUCUUCCACAACCACAGUCAAUGUCAUACCAACUGUUUAUUUAGAUGAGGUAUCGUUGUAUUACGAAUAUAAUAAAAUUUAGAAGUUUGAAUUCUUACAAUUGAGCUCUACAACACGAUCUAGAGCAAGAAAAAAGAGUGACAGUCCUAAAUGCCCUGUAGCUUCAUGCUUAUAAGUGUGGUGCACAACACACCCAUAAACAAUAUUCUACUAGACACGGCUUGUAGACUCCGUAGGACAGAACUGCUCUGAUACCACUUCUGUCAUGACCCAAACCGAAGGGCCGCGACGGGCACCCGGUGCCUUACUCAACCGAGACCAACAUAACAUAUCUUUCUUAUUAUACUAUCUUGAGUAAAUGAGCCAGAAACCCGUCAUGACAUAACAAGAAUAAAACAUAAGGGAAUACUCAACAUAUGACGACCCAACAUGAUAUACAAACUUAUACAUGUGACAUACGGGCCUAUAAGGCCGACAUGACCAUUUGUAAACUCAACACAUAGGCCAACAAGGCCAUACAAGUAUCCAUAAACCUGACAUCUGUCUACAAGUCUCUGAGAGUACAUAAAAUCAUAAAGGUCGGGAUAGGGCCCCGCCAUACCAAUCAAUACAUAUCCAAAGCAUACUGACCAAAUAGGCAACUCCGGAGCAAGUGGAGUGCACCAACACCUCCGCUGAGCUGAUAGCCUACUCGGAGGUGCCAACCUAUCAAUUGGGACUUGCGGGUAUGAAAUGCAGUGUCCCCAAGCAAAAGGGAUGUCAGUACAAAUAAAGUACCGAGUAUGUAAGGUAGGAAAGCAUAAACAAAAACAGUAAUAUAAAGAGAGAUAGAUGAGAUACAACCUAUAACAUAUGCGUGCCUCUGGGGGCUACUAACAUGAAAUGCAUAAUACAUAUAUAUACAUAAACUUUUAAAAACAUACGACUCUGUAGGCAUCAUCACAUCGUACCCAGCCUUAAAGAGGACUCGGUAAAAACGUACCCGGCCAUCAUAAGGCUCGGUAGAAUCGUACCUGUCCAUGUGGAGCUCGUUAACCCAACUGAUCAGUGGUUGCACAAUAGGUGCCGUACCCGGCCAACUAUAGCGCGGCUCGGUAGAUUAAAGUAGAUACAUAUAUAAUGCAUGUUGGACUCAUAGAAUCACGUUCUAAACCUUUCGGAGUGACGUAAGGUCAUUGCAUCUUCGAUUAACAUUAUGGACAUCCCUACCAUCAAUAUGAACCUUAGUAGGAUUUAAGGAUCAUACACACUUGCUUAGAAUAACUUUAUAAGGAAAUAACAACAUGGACAACCUUAGUUUUUAGGAGUAGAUCCGUUAUGAAUUAGCAUACCGUUUAUGUUCGUUUUACUUUAGAUCAUGCCAAUAGAAAGAAGUAAAUGCCUUAACAUACCUUAACCAUGGUGAGUCCUUAAUACCUCCCAAGCUACUCUUCAAACAACUCAACUCAAUCUACCAUUGCAUAAGGAGAUUCAAAAUUUGUAUUGAAUAAAGGCUAAGUCUGCAACUUAAACUUGUUGUUCGUUUAUAUAAAUUCGGGCAUCAUCUCCCCUAAAACAAGAGCCNNNNNNNNNNNNNNNNNNNNNNNNNGAGCGACAUGCUCCAAUUGGAAUUCGUAUACCCCAUAUCAUCCCUUAUAGACUUUUUGCUUUAACUUAAUAGUAUCAUUAACAUGAUAAUGAAGUCAUUCAUCAAUAAUUCCAGCCUUAUACCAUAUAUCCAUAACAAAGAAAAUGAUCCACAACUCCAAUUAUUCUUAAUUAGCAACUUUAUACACUAGUUCAUGUCUAGUUCAUCUAUUUAACAUAACCAAUGCCAAGGUAACCUUAAGCGCCUGUAGGAACACAAUAUAAUUACCUGCUAAAGUGGAUGCAAGUCGAAAUCCAUGUUAUAUUUAGACUACAACAUCCCAACACACCCUAAUCAAUUCAUACCAAAAACGACGACUAUAGUAGUGUCCAACGCCCCGAAAAUAUUACAAAGAAUGACUAAUCCAUCAUUUCGCCAUUAGGUGGUAUUUCUCCACACAAUUUAUCUUCCAAAAAGUCCAUUAAAUAGCAGCAAAAUAUACUACCCAAAAGCUACACGAAACAGCCCACAAAACAGUCCAUUACAAAUCAAAUAACUCGAACCCACGGCUUCCGAUCACUGUCCCGUGAGUUCUAAUUAUUAUGAAAUAAAUUAAUCAAUCUUACUUGAUGUUUAAGAGCAUGAAACCAGAAAUUAGGCAUUUUUAUUAACUUCAAAAUACCUUCCAAAACUCAAACUACAAAGAAAAAGAGAGGCAAUAUAGCAAUACUUACGUUGUGGGGAUCGUUCUAGUGUUAUUGCUUCUUGAUUUCGUGUCCGGGAUGAUGGUAUUAUUUGAAACUCUUGUAGAGAGCUUAAGGGUAAUGCUAGGGGUCUUAUUUGGUCGUGUCUCUGGAAAU
rnacentral:lncRNA from 1 species